CAAUUGAUUGAUGGUGCUUGCACCUGAUUGAUUUUGGUCGCCAACGAGUGGCGGACGGGUGAGUAACACGUAGGUAACCUGCCCAGAAGCGGGGGACAACAUUUGGAAACAGAUGCUAAUACCGCAUAACAACGUUGUUCGCAUGAACAACGCUUAAAAGAUGGCUUCUCGCUAUCACUUCUGGAUGGACCUGCGGUGCAUUAGCUUGUUGGUGGGGUAAUGGCCUACCAAGGCGAUGAUGCAUAGCCGAGUUGAGAGACUGAUCGGCCACAAUGGGACUGAGACACGGCCCAUACUCCUACGGGAGGCAGCAGUAGGGAAUCUUCCACAAUGGGCGCAAGCCUGAUGGAGCAACACCGCGUGAGUGAAGAAGGGUUUCGGCUCGUAAAGCUCUGUUGUUAAAGAAGAACACGUAUGAGAGUAACUGUUCAUACGUUGACGGUAUUUAACCAGAAAGUCACGGCUAACUACGUGCCAGCAGCCGCGGUAAUACGUAGGUGGCAAGCGUUAUCCGGAUUUAUUGGGCGUAAGAGAGUGCAGGCGGUUUUCUAAGUCUGAUGUGAAAGCCUUCGGCUUAACCCGUCAGUGCCGGAGCUAACGCAUUAAGCACUCCGCCUGGGGAGUACGACCGCAAGGUUGAACUCAAAGGAAUUGACGGGGGCCCGCACAAGCGGUGGAGCAUGUGGUUUAAUUCGAAGCUACGCGAAGAACCUUACCAGGUCUUGACAUCUUGCGCCAACCCUAGAGAUAGGGCGUUUAAUUAAGGAACGCAAUGACAGGUGGUGCAUGGUCGUCGUCAGCUCGUGUCGUGAGAUGUUGGGUUAAGUCCCGCAACGAGCGCAACCCUUGUUACUAGUUGCCAGCAUUAAGUUGGGCACUCUAGUGAGACUGCCGGUGACAAACCGGAGGAAGGUGGGGACGACGUCAGAUCAUCAUGCCCCUUAUGACCUGGGCUACACACGUGCUACAAUGGACGGUACAACGAGUCGCGAACUCGCGAGGGCAAGCAAAGCUCUUAAAACCGUUCUCAGUUCGGACUGCAGGCUGCAACUCGCCUGCACGAAGUCGGAAUCGCUAGUAAUCGCGGAUCAACAUGCCGCGGUGAAUACGUUCCCGGGCCUUGUACACACCGCCCUUCACACCAUGAGAGUUUGUAACACCCAAAGUCGGUGGGGUAACCUUUUAGGAGCCAGCCGCCU
rnacentral:rRNA from 1 species